AAUAAAGGACCUAAUUAACAUCUAUUGAGCGGUUGCGUUAUUGGAUGCAUUUAACGUUUUACUUCUGUAACGAUCAAAAGAAAUGCACGAAAAUUUGUGGAGGAUUGAAAUGAAAGUCUAGGUCAGCCACGGCGACAGCGUUAAUUUGGCCUGAUUAUCGUGUUUCUCUACUCUUUUCUCGUCGUCUUGAAUCUAGAUGAGGAAGAAGAAAAUUUAGUUGACCCGGUAAUUCUUCGGAGCAGUUGCACUCAGGGUUUACUUAGCAGAAUUAGCAUUUCCUGGCGCCCUUUUUAGACCAUUGAUAAGUUAAUAUAGCGUUUUCGAAUGCAAUUUGAAUUCCAAAAUUGAUUUAACUAAAUAUGCAUCG